rnacentral:rRNA from 1 species
CCCUUAGAUGUUCUGGGCAGCACGCGCGCUACAAUGGUCUUCGCAAACGGAUGCAUUCUCGAAGGAGAAUGCCAAUCUUGGAAUCUAUGCCUUGGUCGGGACAGUUGCUUGCAAUUUUUCGACUCGAACCAGGAAUUCCUUGUAAUCGUGAUUCAUCACAUCACGAUGAAUACGUCCCUGCCCUUUGUACACACGGCCCGUCGCUCCUACCGAUCGAAGAGUUAGGUGAAUUGUUUUGAUCGAUAAGAUUUGACUAUGGUCAACUCUCGUUGUGAAAUUCUGUGAAUCUGACUGUUUAGAGGAAGGAAAAGUCGUAACA